CAACCGACAUCAUGCGUAUCUACUUAGGUCUAUUCCUAUUAGCACUUCUACUAUGCUCGCUAGUCGGCGUGGAGUGCAAAGGUGGUAGGGGUAGAUCCAGAUCAAGGGUACGUCCCGUUCCAGGAGGAGGAUCUGACUGUCCCGACCCUGACAACCCUGACUGUCCUCCUGGAGAAAAAUAAAGCACGACUUGUAAAAUAGAACGAUUUGACAUCA